CUUCUUGUAUGCUAAAUCUAAAUCAAAAAACAUGUAUGUCACCAUGCCACCACUGUAAUGCGCCCCGUGAACCUCAUAUUCAUCAAAUUUAAUAUACAAUUAAAUUUAAUGAAAACGAGGAAGGAAAGGAGUAAGGAGAGGUAGAGAAAGAAGAAGAGAAGGAGUAGGGAGAGGAAGAAGAGAGGAGGUGGAGGAGCGUGAAGGAGUAGGGAGAGGUAGAGAAAGAAGAAGAGAAGGAGUAGGGAGAGGUAGAGGAAGAAGAGGAGGAGAAGGAGUAGGGAGAGGUAGAGGAAGACGAAGAGAAGGAGUAAGGAGAGGAAGAGGAAGAAGAGGAGGAGAAGGAGUAGGGAGAGGUAGAGGAAGACGAAGAGAAGGAGUAAGGAGAGGUAGAGGAAGAAGAGGAGGAGAAGGAGUAGGGAGAGGUAGAGGAAGACGAAGAGAAGGAGUAGGGAGAGGUAGAGGAAGACGAAGAGAAGGAGUAAGGAGAGGUAGAGGAAGAAGAGGAGGAGAAGGAGUAGGGAGAGGAAGAAGAGAGGAGGUGGAGGAGCGUGAAGGAGUAGGGAGAGGAAGAAGAGAGGAGGAGGAAGAGGAGGGAGAGGAAGAAGAGAGGAGUUUGAGGAGUUGGGAGAGGAAGAAGAGAGGAGGAGGAAGAGGAGGGAGAGGAAGAAGAGAGGAGGUGGAGGAGUUGGGAGAGGAAGAAGAGAGGAGGAGUAGGGAGAGGAAGAGGAAGAAGAGGAGGAGAAGGAGCAGGGAGAGGAAGAAGAGAGGUGGUGGAGCGUGAAGGAGGAGGGAGAGGAAGAAGAGAGGAGGUGGAGGAGCGUGAAGGAGUAGGGAGAGGUAGAGAAAGAAGAAGAGAAGGAGUAGGGAGAGGUAGAGGAAGACGAAGAGAAGGAGUAAGGAGAGGUAGAGGAAGAAGAGGAGGAGAAGGAGUAGGGAGAGGUAGAGGAAGACGAAGAGAAGGAGUAGGGAGAGGUAGAGGAAGACGAAGAGAAGGAGUAAGGAGAGGUAGAGGAAGAAGAGGAGGAGAAGGAGUAGGGAGAGGAAGAAGAGAGGGGGAGGAGCGUGAAGGAGUAGGGAGAGGUAGAGGAAGAAGAGGAGGAGAAGGAGUAGGGAGAGGAAGAAGAGAGGAGGUGGAGGAGCGUGAAGGAGUAGGGAGAGGAAGAAGAGAGGAGGAGGAAGAGGAGGGAGAGGAAGAAGAGAGGAG